rnacentral:rRNA from 1 species
CGCCGCGGUAAUACGUAGGGUGCAAGCGUUAAUCGGAAUUACUGGGCGUAAAGCGUGCGCAGGCGGUUUGUUAAGACAGAUGUGAAAUCCCCGGGCUCAACCUGGGAACUGCAUUUGUGACUGGCAAGCUAGAGUAUGGCAGAGGGGGGUGGAAUUCCGCGUGUAGCAGUGAAAUGCGUAGAUAUGCGGAGGAACACCGAUGGCGAAGGCAGCCCCCUGGGCCAAUACUGACGCUCAUGCACGAAAGCGUGGGGAGCAAACAGGAUUAGAUACCCUGGUAGUCCACGCCCUAAACGAUGUCAACUAGUUGUUGGGGAUUCAUUUCCUUAGUAACGUAGCUAACGCGUGAAGUUGACCGCCUGGGGAGUACGGUCGCAAGAUUAAAACUCAA